AAAUCACUCCACCCAACACUCACUGCUUUCAUGAAGAGGAACAACAACUUUAAAUGCAGGAAACUUUACAGGAGCUGGAGGAUUUUUCUGAAGAACAGCAGGCAGAUGAACUGCUCAGGACAAACAGGGGACUCAUGAACAACUAUCACAAAACAUAAAAACAGUCGUGGAUCAUCCAGGAAACGAAACACAGUAUUAAGACUGAAGGGACGCCUGGUGAUGAAGACCAAUGUAGAUAUUGUCAUGGUGUGAUGCUUUCCUCAUGAUUACAUGCAUCUUGUUCAUCUUGGACAUAAUAUCUGGAUUUUCACUUGAGGAUUAUUUGGGUAAGAUGAAACGGAUGAUAAGAACCCUUCAUCAUCCACCAGCCAAUGUUAUUUAGCGAAUCUCAGAAAUGGAUCCUUUGACAUGGAGUAGGGUUGGGUACCGAAACCCGGUACCCAUGUGACCGGUAUGUACCGGACCGAAUCAGAACGCGAAUUUCGGUGCCUCAUUUCGGUGCCACUUAAAUGCUUGAACUGUCGAUUGAAAUAUUUGUCUUCUGGUGCUAUGACACGGAUGUAGAAGCAUUGAUUCAUCAACAUGCAUGAUCGCUAGUUAAAUUUAAAUACUGCAUUCAUGGGGUGUCAGAAUGAUCAGAAAAUUUAUUUACUGAAUGAGAAAACUCACGUGAACAUCGGAAAACUUUGAUGAUAGAAAUCCAAGACAUCUUUGUAGUUACUAUCCAUUUUCACAUUUCGAAUUAAAAGCACAAAUCGUCUGGAAAUGAGACCAUCCGAGAAGCGCGUGAAUGCUGCAACUAUCGUUACACUUGCUCUGACUGCAGCAGGUGGUUUGCCGUUAGCUUAGCAAGCUACGUUAAACGCGUCUAACUUAAAAUGCCAAAAACUAAACAUUCUGAAGUGUGGCUAUAUUUCACGAGAAAUGAUUCAGACACUGCGACGUGCAGCAAAUGUUUUACAGCAGUUGCGUGUGAAGGGGAAAACGCGUCAAACCUAAUGAAACAUUUGAUGGUAUGUGGAAUAAACUUGAAAGCAGAGGGAUGCACCGUGUUUGACAGUUUGCAGACAUCAGCUGGAGAGGUGUCGUAUUUUGCCAGAGACGGCAAAUAUGUGAUGCGAUCUAGGAAAACCCAACACAUGGUGAAAUUUUACCUUUUUUAGGUUUUGACACCAUAUGAAAGCUGAGUACAGGUCCCUUUCCAAAACUUUUAUUUUUUACAUAACCUGCGUUAUGGCUAUCUUAGGUUGGCCGAUAGCGAUGAUUUUCAGAAAUGGGAUUUUGAGAAAAACGGCUUUAAAGUGAGACGGCUUUCACUUUCACUUUACGGGUUUAACGAGAGCUGUCUGUCAAGUUAGGAGCGCUACUGCAUCAUUAGACAAACAGACAACGUUUGUUUUCCGUUGAUCACCCAUUUUAUGUUUAGUAAAUAAUGCAGCCUACCUUGUAGUAAAAGCGAGCGCAGCGCAACUGUUCGCGCACUGUGAUAAAACAGACUGUCAUCGGACGACGACUCUUUAGUAACUUCAUCAUCCGAUCCUUCAUCUCUGGAUGUGAAAUAGCCCGUAACAUCAUUUAGGGCACUGACAUCACCAAAACUGAGCAGAUUGAGACGAGUAAGAUCGGUUAAGUGAGCAGCUGCAGUACUUUAGACGGCGUUGUUGUGCUCCGCCAUCUCACGAUGUUAAAAUAAAUAAAGAAGAAAAGAGAAAGACAGUCAUUUCUGCUUGCUGCAAUAAAUGUCUAUUUUUCUGCACUAAACAAGUGAAUUUCGAAGAGAUAUUUUCAGAGAUGAUAGACAAGAUGUUAUAGAAUAAUAAUUUAAUGAAAAACGAAUUUCCUGAAAACGUCCCACCGCUACAUCCGACGGGUUUUCCCAGAUCUCAUCACAUAUAGUCAUAUUUCUGCAAAAGAAUUUCUGAAAUUUUAAGCUGUUAAAUUAUUGUAGUUGGGAUAGGUGGCUUAGGUUUUAGUGUUGUUGCGUUUUGCAUUGACUUA